GGGGGAUUAGCUCAGUUGGUAGAGCGCCUGCCUUGCACGCAGGAGGCCAUCGGUUCGACUCCGUUAUCCUCCACCA
rnacentral:tRNA from 6 species